UACGUAGGGACCAAGCGUUGUUCGGAUUUACUGGGCGUAAAGGGCGCGAGUAGGCGGCACCGCAAGUCGACUGUGAAAUCUCCGGGCUUAACUCGGAAAGGUCAGCCGAUACUGCGGGGCUAGAGUGCAGAAGGGGCAACUGGAAUUCUCGGUGUAGCGGUGAAAUGCGUAGAUAUCGAGAGGAACACCUGCGGCGAAGGCGGGUAGCUGGGCCGACACGUGACGCUGAUGCGCGAAAGCCAGGGGAGCGAACGGG
rnacentral:rRNA from 1 species